rnacentral:rRNA from 1 species
GGAGGGUGCGAGCGUUGUCCGGAAUCACUGGGCGUAAAGAGCGCGUAGGUGGCUCGUUAAGUUGCCGGUGAAAUCCCGGGGCUCAACUCCGGGGCUGCCGGUAAGACUGGCGGGCUCGAGCACGGUGGAGGCAGAUGGAAUUCCCGGUGUAGCGGUGGAAUGCGUAGAGAUCGGGAAGAACACCAGUGGCGAAGGCGUUCUGCUGGGCCGUUGCUGACACUGAGGCGCGACAGCGUGGGGAGCAAACAGGAUUAGAUACCCUGGUAGUCCACGCCGUAAACGAUGGACACUAGGCGUCGGGGGGAGCGACCCCCUCGGUGCCGUCGCUAACGCAGUAAGUGUCCCGCCUGGGGAGUACGGCCGCAAGGCUG